rnacentral:rRNA from 1 species
AACUGCGAAUGGCUCAUUAUAUAAGUUAUCGUUUAUUUGAUAGCACCUUACUACUUGGAUAACCGUGGUAAUUCUAGAGCUAAUACAUGCACAAAAUCCCGACUCACGAAGGGAUGUAUUUAUUAGAUACAAAACCAAUGCCCUCCGGGGCUCACUGGUGAUUCAUGAUAACUUCGCGAAUCGCACAGCCUUGCGCUGGCGAUGGUUCAUUCAAAUUUCUUCCCUAUCAACUUUCGAUGUUUGGGUAUUGGCCAAACAUGGUUGCAACGGGUAACGGAGGGUUAGGGCUCGACCCCGGAGAAGGAGCCUGAGAAACGGCUACUACAUCCAAGGAAGGCAGCAGGCGCGCAAAUUACCCAAUCCCGACACGGGGAGGUAGUGACAAUAAAUACUGAUACAGGGCUCUAUUGGGUCUUGUAAUUGGAAUGAGUACAAUCUAAAUCUCUUAACGAGGAACAAUUGGAGGGCAAGUCUGGUGCCAGCAGCCGCGGUAAUUCCAGCUCCAAUAGCGUAUAUUAAAGUUGUUGUGGUUAAAAAGCUCGUAGUUGAACCUUGGGCCUGGCUGGCCGGUCUGCCUCACCGCACGCACUGGACCGGCCGGGCCUUUCCCUCUGUGGAACCUUAUGCCCUUCACUGGGUGUACGGGGAAACAGGACUUUUACUUUGAAAAAAUUAGAGUGCUCCAGGCAGGCAUAUGCUCGAAUAUAUUAGCAUGGAAUAAUAAAAUAGGACGCGUGGUUCUAUUUUGUUGGUUUCUAGGACCGCCGUAAUGAUUAAUAGGGACAGUCGGGGGCAUCAGUAUUCAAUUGUCAGAGGUGAAAUUCUUAGAUUUAUUGAAGACUAACUACUGCGAAAGCAUUUGCCAAGGAUGUUUUCAUUAAUCAGGAACGAAAGUUAGGGGAUCGAAGACGAUCAGAUACCGUCGUAGUCUUAACCAUAAACUAUGCCGACUAGGGAUCGGACGAUGUUUUUUAUUGACUCGUCCGGCACCUU